rnacentral:rRNA from 1 species
UAUAUCGGAACGUGCCCUGGAGUGGGGGAUAACGUAGCGAAAGUUACGCUAAUACCGCAUACGAUCUACGGAUGAAAUGGGGGAUCGCAAGACCUCAUGCUCGUGGAGCGGCCGAUAUCUGAUUAGCUAGUUGGUAGGGUAAAAGCCUACCAAGGCAACGAUCAGUAGCUGGUCUGAGAGGACGACCAGCCACACUGGGACUGAGACACGGCCCAG